rnacentral:rRNA from 1 species
GAUGAACGCUAGCUACAGGCUUAACACAUGCAAGUCGAGGGCUCGGCGCACGUGUGUGUAACACGUAUCCAACCUCCCCUUUACUCGGGGAUAGCCUUUCGCAAUGAAGAUUACUACCCGAUAUAAAGGAUGGGGAUGCUGUCCACUAGGUUGUUUGUGAGGUACCGGCUCACCAAGCCUUAGAUGGAUAGGGGUGCGGAGGGGCAGUACCACUACAAUGGAACUGAGACCCGGUCCAAACUCCUAGGGGAGGGAGCAGUGAGGAAUAUAUGGCAAUGGGCGCUAGCGUGAACCAGCCAAGUAGCGUGAAGGAUGAAUGCUUAUGGGUCGUAAACUUCUUUUAUAGAAGAAUAGGUAUUAUAUGAAUAAGGAUCGGCUAACGCCGUGCCAGCAGCCGCGGUAAUUC